CCAAUAGCGUAUAUUAAAGUUGUUGCAGUUAAAAAGCUCGUAGUUGAAUUUCGGGGUCAGUAGAUUGGUCAUGCCACUGGUAUGUACUGGUCUCACUGAUUCCUCCUUCCUGAUGAGCCGUAAUGCCAUUAAUUUGGUGUUGCGAGGAAUCUGGACUGUUACUUUGAAAAAAUUAGAGUGUUUAAAGCAGGCUAACGCUUGAAUACAUUAGCAUGGAAUAAUGAAAUAGGACGUUCGAUCUUAUUUUGUUGGUUUCUAAGAUUGACGUAAUGAUUAAUAGGGAUUGUUUGGGGCAUUAGUAUUCAAUUGUCAGAGGGUAAAUUCUUUGAGUUAUUGAAGACUAACUACUGCGAAAGCAUUUGCCAAGGAUGGUUUCAUUAAUCAAGAACGAAAGUUAGGGGAUCGAAGACGAUCAGAUACCGUCGUAGUCUUAACCAUAAACUAUGCCGACUAGGGAUCGGAUGAUGUUAAUUUUUUAAUGACUCAUUCGGCGCCUUACG
rnacentral:rRNA from 1 species